CUUCUUUUCCCUUCUGCUUCCCAUUCCAGACCUCUCUCUUUUUGCGUACUCCGCCGGGAAGAACAGGGCUCAGUGGGAGGGGACUGUCUCAGGUCCCUCAAAGGGUUCUCACUACAAUGGUGCUCUGGGCUACCCAGUUCCUGCUGGGGCUGCUGUUUGGUUGCUGUCGGGGCUACAACAGCCUUAAGGGUGCCCCUCGUGUCUACUUAACCUACAAAGUUAGCCUCAACGGCUACAAGAUCUUUCUGCAUAUUGAUUCUACAGACAAACACAGAUGUAUCUUUGAAUUUCAGAA